rnacentral:rRNA from 1 species
CCUACGGGAGGCAGCAGUGAGGAAUAUUGGUCAAUGGACGAGAGUCUGCACCAGCCAAGUAGCGUGAAGGAUGACUGCCCUAUGGGUUGUAAACUUCUUUUAUAUGGGACUAAAAUGUUCCACGUGUGGGAUUUUGUCUGUACCAUAUGAAUAAGGAUCGGCUAACUCCGUGCCAGCAGCCGCGGUACUACGGAGGAUCCGAGCGUUAUCCGGCUUUAUUGGGUUUAAAGGGAGCGUAGGUGGAGUGUUAAGUCAGUUGUGAAAGUUUGCGGCUCAACCGUAAAAUUGCAGUUGAAACUGACAGUCGUGAGUACAGUAGAGGUGGGCGGAAUUCGUGGUGUAGCGGUGAAAUGCUUAGAUAUCACGAAGAACUCCGAUUGCGAAGGCAGUUCACUGGACUGCAACUGACACUGAGGCUCGAAAGUGUGGGUAUCAAACAGGAUUAGAUACCCCUGUAGUC